CAGUCGCCGCGGUAAUACGGAGGGGGCUAGCGUUGUUCGGAAUUACUGGGCGUAAAGCGUACGUAGGCGGCUUUGUAAGUUAGAGGUGAAAGCCUGGUGCUCAACACCAGAACUGCCUUUAAGACUGCAUCGCUUGAACGUCGGAGAGGUGAGUGGAAUUCCGAGUGUAGAGGUGCAAUUCGUAGAUAUUCGGAAGAACACCAGUGGCGAAGGCGGCUCACUGGACGACUGUUGACGCUGAGGUACGAAAGCGUGGGGAGCAAACAGGAUUAGAUACCCCGGUAGUCCCUGUCUCUUAUAC
rnacentral:rRNA from 1 species